rnacentral:tRNA from 1 species
GCGGUUGUAGCUCAGUUGGUUAGAGCGCAGGCUUGUGGCGCCUGAGGUCAGUGGUUCGACCCCACUCAACCGUA